rnacentral:lncRNA from 1 species
UCCUACACACCCUCAGUUGAGUCAUUUCACACAACCACCUACCCUCCUUAAUUUCCCCAUUCAUAUUGCCAGGCCCCGUAGCUUCAAUUUACAAUUCGUUAUGGCCUUGGUGUAGUAAUUCAUAGGUGGUCAUCCCUUCUUUCUUCUGCAUUUCUUUCUAAUUACUCCACCAUUUCUCAUUAUCUCCAAUUAGUACUACUUAUUAUAUCCCACCAACCAAGACACCACUAUCACCAUUGGCUCUUCGUUAAUUCUCCAAAUUAAGUUGCAAAUUUAUCAGUAAAUUAGUUAUACUACUAGAAAUAUAGUUACCAAUUAUGAAAAUCCUUAUGGCCAUCUCCAGUGCUUUGAUGAUUCAUAGCGUUAUUGUGCUCAUCUUCUGUGAAGGUAAUGAAGGAAUGCUCAUACUUUUGCCAUGUUUAAUUUGUCUGUAACAGACAUUUGUUUUAUUUGGAUUCGUAUCACAUGUAUGGGCACUGAAAACAGGGUUUCACCAUUUCUUGGUAAAAAUUCAUUCUUUAUUCAAAGGAUUAUUAAGAAUUUUCACAUUUUUAUUGGUCUUUCAUUUGGUUCAUGUUUUUUUAUUUUCUUGUGUAGGUAUAUUGGGGGCUACGUUUACAUUUGUGAACAAGUGUGACAAAACUGUGUGGCCUGGAAUUUUGGGCACUCCAAAACUGGACAGUACUGGUUUCGAGCUUACCAAAGGCAGUUCUCGUUCAUUUCAAGCACCGACCGGCUGGUCCGGUCGUUUUUGGGGCCGAACCGGCUGCAACUUCGACGACUCAGGAAGCGGUUCAUGUGCCACAGCCGACUGCGGUUCCGGCCAAAUGGAGUGUAACGGUGGAGGAGCCACACCUCCGGCGACACUAGCCGAAUUCACACUCGGGUCGGGUUCGCAGGAUUUCUAUGAUGUGAGCUUAGUGGACGGUUACAACUUACCCAUGAUGGUAGAAGUUAGUGGCGGGUCGGGUCCAUGUGCCUCCACGGGUUGCAACGUGGACUUGAACCAAAAAUGUCCGACGGAGCUGAUGGUGGACGGCGGCGGCGCUUGUAGAAGCGCCUGUGAUGCUUUCAGGACUCCACAAUACUGUUGUGAAGGUGCUUAUGCUUCGCCGGCGACGUGCUCGCCGUCGGUGUACUCGCAGAUGUUCAAGUCGGCGUGUCCCAAAUCCUAUAGCUACGCGUACGACGAUGCCACAAGUACAUUCACAUGUUCUAAUGCCAAUUACAUCAUCACAUUUUGUCCCUCCUCUCUACCAAGGUAAAUAAAAUCAAGUUAUAAUCAUCAAUAUUAUAAAAUAUUCUAUAUCAUUAAUGCAAUUUAACAAAUAUAAUAGCAAAAUUAUAAUUCAAUUCAAGGUAAUUAAUCAUGUUCAAUAUUGGAAAUCAAAUUAAUAUGGAGGUACGAAAAUUUUAUGUAUUGCCAAUGUAUAUUUUAAUUAAUGUCAAAAAGAAAAGAGCGUAGAUACCAUUUUACAAUUAGUAGUAAAAUUUAGAAGGUGUAUAAAAUUUUAAUGCAUUAUGAAAUACAUUAAUAGUUCAGGAAAAAAAAUAAUACUUGAACAUGACCUUUACCGAGGUUUAAAAGAUCUAAUGAAUUUUCUUCUUUUCUUGCAGCAAAAAAUCUUCAAAAUCAGACGGGUCGACGGAUGGGUCAGGUAGUGAGUCAGGAUCCGGGUCAUUUCCAGGUACUGAAUCAGGCACAGGGUCAGAGACUGGAGCAGGAUCCGGGUCACUUCCAGGUUCUGAAUCAGGCGCAGGGUCAGGGUCAAUGGGUCAGGCAAUGUUAGCGGAUGGAUCUUGGUUAGCAAGUUUGGCUACGGGGAGCUCGGCUAGUAAUCAACCGUCAAGGGUUAUUCAAUUUAUACCACUAAUAGUGGCUUUUGUAUUAUUUAUAGGUUCACUUUUGAAAUUAUAGAGUUUAACAUUAAAAUAUUUCAUUAAGUAGAGUAGAUAAGAUUGUUAAAUUGAAAAGAAGAAGAAAAAAGGAAUAAAGUACCAACGUACCAGCUUCUGUUAGGCUCACAUUGUAAACGAUUCCAUCAAUUCCAAUUUUCACAAAGUUCAUUCCGUUUUUUUUCUUUUUAAUAAUUAUUACUCGUAAAUACGCAUGAAAAUGACUGGAUAUUCCUUUCUCUGUGCUUAAGACCCAAACAAAAAGAUGAG